UACGUAGGCAGCGAGCGUUGUUCGGAAUUACUGGGCGUAAAGAGUGUGUAGGCGGUGCUCUAAGUUCGGUGUGAAAUCUCCCGCUUAACUGGGAGGGUGCGCCGGAAACUGGAGUGCUCGAGCGUGGGAGAGGAAAGCGGAAUUCCUGGUGUAGCGGUGAAAUGCGUAGAUAUCAGGAGGAACACCUGCGGUGUAGACGGCUUUCUGGACCAUUGCUGACGCUGAGACA
rnacentral:rRNA from 1 species